GCUCCCCUGUCCGGUAGGUGAGUUUGAGUUAAUUCUUACCCGACAGGUUCUUAUCCAGGGGCCCUCUCUUACUGUGGUGCGCAUGCCUAUUCGUAGGAAGCCUAAAACGGUAACAGGGCGACCACUUAAUAUACUGGGUUAAGAAUUCCAUACCACCGCUAGUGACGGGGGAGUU
rnacentral:other from 1 species